CAGCCGCCACGGGAAUACGGAGGGAGCUAGCGUUAUUCGGAAUUACUGGGCGUAAAGCGCACGUAGGCGGUUUGGCAAUUUUGGUGUGAAAUCUUCGGGCUCAACUCGAAGUCUGCACCGAAAACUGCCGGGCUUGAGUAUGGGAGAGGUGAGUGGAAUUUCCGGUGUAGCGGUGAAAUGCGUAGAUAUCGGAAGGAACACCUGUGGCGAAAGCGGCUCACUGGACCAUUACUGACGCUGAGGCGCGAAAGCUAGGGGAGCAAACAGGAUUAGAUACCCGAGUAGUCCAUGUCUCUUAUAC
rnacentral:rRNA from 1 species